rnacentral:rRNA from 1 species
GACGAACGCUGGCGGCGUGCUUAACACAUGCAAGUCGAGCGGAAAGGCCCUGCUUUUGUGGGGUGCUCGAGUGGCGAACGGGUGAGUAACACGUGAGUAACCUGCCCUUGACUUUGGGAUAACUUCAGGAAACUGGGGCUAAUACCGGAUAGGAGCUCCUGCUGCAUGGUGGGGGUUGGAAAGUUUCGGCGGUUGGGGAUGGACUCGCGGCUUAUCAGCUUGUUGGUGGGGUAGUGGCUUACCAAGGCUUUGACGGGUAGCCGGCCUGAGAGGGUGACCGGCCACAUUGGGACUGAGUUACGGCCCAGACUCCUUCGGGCGGCAAGAGGGGGGAGUAUUGCACAAUGGGCGGAAGCAUGAUGCAGCAACGCCGCGUGCGGGAGGACGGCCUUCGGGUUGUAAGCCGCUUUCGCCUGUGACGAAGCGUGAGGGACGGUACUGGGGAAAGAAGCACCGGCUAACUACGU